rnacentral:tRNA from 1 species
CAGGGUAUAGCUCAGUCUGGUAGAGUGCUCGCCUCGGAUGCGAGAGGUCGCAGGUUCGAACCCUGUUACCCUGACCA